UGCGUAGGCGGCGCGGUAAGUCGGGUGUGAAAUCUCGGGGCUUAACUCCGAAACUGCAUUCGAUACUGCCGUGCUUGAGGACUGGAGAGGAGACUGGAAUUUACGGUGUAGCGGUGAAAUGCGUAGAUAUCGUAAGGAAGACCAGUGGCGAAGGCGGGUCUCUGGACAGCUCCUGACGCUGAGGCACGAAGGCCAGGGAGGCAAACG
rnacentral:rRNA from 1 species